AUUGAACGCUGGCGGCAUGCUUUACACAUGCAAGUCGAACGGUAACAGGGUGCUUGCACCGCUGACGAGUGGCGAACGGGUGAGUAAUGCGUCGGAACGCACCGAGUAAUGGGGGAUAACGCAGCGAAAGCUGUGCUAAUACCGCAUACGCUCUGAGGAGGAAAGCGGGGGACCUUCGGGCCUCGCGUUAUUCGAGCGGCCGACGUCUGAUUAGCUAGUAGGUGAGGUAAGAGCUCACCUAGGCGACGAUCAGUAGCGGGUCUGAGAGGAUGAUCCGCCACACUGGGACUGAGACACGGCCCAGACUCCUACGGGAGGCAGCAGUGGGGAAUUUUGGACAAUGGGCGCAAGCCUGAUCCAGCCAUGCCGCGUGUCUGAAGAAGGCCUUCGGGUUGUAAAGGACUUUUGUCAGGGAGGAAAUCCUUAGCGCUACUACCGUUGAGGGAUGACAGUACCUGAAGAAUAAGCACCGGCUAACUACGUGCCAGCAGCCGCGGUAA
rnacentral:rRNA from 1 species